rnacentral:rRNA from 1 species
UACAGAGGUCUCAACCGUUGUUCGGAUUCAUUGGGCGUAAAGGGUGCGUAGGCGGUCGUGCAAGUCGGAUGUGAAAUCUCAGGGCUCAACCCUGAAACUGCAUUCGAUACUGCGUGGCUAGAGUGCUGGAGAGGAGACUGGAAUUUACGGUGUAGCAGUGAAAUGCGUAGAUAUCGUAAGGAAGACCAGUGGCGAAGGCGAGUCUCUGGACAGCAACUGACGCUGAGGCGCGAAAGCGUGGGUAGCGAACAGG